UAGGAUAAUAGUUAAUCAUAACGUUUAAUUUGCAUUUAAAAAUAAUUAGUUUUACUAAUUUAUCUUAA
rnacentral:tRNA from 1 species